GUCUAUGGGCAUGGCACCUUGAACACACCCUGUCUCGUCUGAUCUCAGAAGCUAAGUCGGGUCAGGCCUGGUUAGUACUUGGAUGGAAGAAAAUAAAAUCAUGAUUGACU
rnacentral:rRNA from 1 species